rnacentral:rRNA from 1 species
UACGAAGGGUGCGAGCGUUGUUCGGAUUUACUGGGCGUAAAGGGCGCGCAGGCGGCUUUGUUUGUCAGGCGUGAAAGCCCCGGGCUUAACCUGGGAACUGCGUUUGAUACGGCAGGGCUAGAGUUCGGGAGAGGAGAGUGGAAUUCCCAGUGUAGAGGUGAAAUUCGUAGAUAUUGGGAAGAACACCGGUGGCGAAGGCGGCUCUCUGGACCGAUACUGACGCUGAGGCGCGAAAGCGUGGGGAGCAAACAGG